rnacentral:rRNA from 1 species
GCAAGUCGAGGGGCAGCAUAACCGAAAGCUUGCUUUGUUGAUGGCGACCGGCGCACGGGUGAGUAACGCGUAUCCAACCUUCCCCAUAGUAGAGAAUAGCCCGGCGAAAGUCGGAUUUAAUGCUCUAUGUUGUAUCAUGAGGACAUCUGAAUAAUACCAAAGGUUCACCGCUAUGGGAUGGGGAUGCGUCUGGAUUAGGUUGUUGGCGGGGUAACGGCCCACCAAGCCCACGAUCAGUAGGGGUUCUGAGAGGAAGGUCCCCCACAUUGGAACUGAGACACGGUCCAAACUCCUACGGGAGGCAGCAGUGAGGAAUAUUGGUCAAUGGACGGAAGUCUGAACCAGCCAAGUAGCCGUGCAGGAUGACGGCCCUAUGGGUUGUAAACUGUCUUUUAUACAGGGAUAAAGUGAGGGACGUGUCCCUUUUUGUAGGUACUGUAUGAAUAAGGACCGGCUAAUUCCGUGCCAGCCGCUGC